rnacentral:rRNA from 1 species
UAGAGUUUGAUCCUGGCUCAGAAUGAACGUUGGCGGCGUGGAUUAGGCAUGCAAGUCGUGCGGAAAGGCCCCGCAAGGGGUACUCGAGCGGCGAAAGGGAUAGUAACGCGUAGAUACCUACCUCCGGGACUGGGAUAGCUGCGGGAAACUGCAAUUAAUACCAGAUAACGUCUAAGGACCAAAGGUGUGAUUCCGCCUGGAGACGGGUCUGCGUCCUAUCAGCUAGUUGGCGAGGUAACGGCUCACCAAGGCGAAGACGGGUAGCGGGUGUGAGAGCACGACCCGCAUCAUUGGGACUGAGACACUGCCCAGACACCUACGGGUGGCUGCAGUCGAGAAUCUUCGGCAAUGGGCGAAAGCCUGACCGAGCGACGCCGCGUGUGGGAUGAAGGCCUUCGGGUUGUAAACCACUGUCAGUGGGGAGGAAAUAUAGGUGGGUUCACCCACUUAUUUGACCUAUCCGCAGAGGAAGGACGGGCUAAGUUCGUGCCAGCAGCCCCGGUCAA